ACCAUCAGCACACCAAACUUUCCCCUUUUUAGAGAGAGAAACAAAACCCCUCAACCAUUUCUCUCUCUAACCAUAGGCCUUUCUGCUGCCCAAUCCAAUUUUCAUUUUCUCAAUUCAACUUCGAUUUUGUUAUUUUUGGGGAUUUUUUUUCCUUCUGAGAUCGGGGGAUGGAGUAUGUGGGCAGACAGGUGAAGAAGAAGUUCAAAGGGCACGGCACGUUUUUGGGUUUGGUAAAGGCGUACGACGCGGAGACUGGUUUUUUGAAGAUUGUAUACGACGACGGAGAUUCCGAGGAAUUGGAGUUGACUGAAGUCUCUUCGCUCUUGAUGCCUGCUGAGCCUCAGCCGUCGGGAUCUUCUGCGGGGAGGCCGGGGCGCAAGCCGAAGAAGCGACGCCGCAUUGGCGUUUCAGGUGACGAUGUUGAGAAUUCAGCUGAUGGGGCGAUUUCUGACGGUUUGGAAGGUAGAGAUGGGGAGUCUGGGGAGUUUGACUUGAAUUUGACUGAGAGAAUAGAUUUGAAUGAUGAUGGCGUAGAUUGUUUGCGUAAUGCUGGUCAUGCGAAUGGUGGAGGGAGUAAGCUGCAUGGUUUGGAUUUAAAUGAGUUGGUGAAUCUAGAGCUGAAUAAGGAAAUUGUUGAAGAUGGCUCCCAAGAGGGAAAGAAAAUGAUUGACUUGAAUCUGGAUGUAAAUGAGGGUUUUGAGAAAUUGAGUGACGAGAGAGGAGGACGAUGCUUUGACUUGAAUUUACAGCUAAUGGAGGAUGAGGUGAGGAUUUUGGAAGGUUGUGAUGCGAGACUUGGAGAAGGUGACAAUGGUUGUUCUAGAGAAAAUGAGAAAAUGGAGGAAGGGUUGGUGGUGGAGGAUGAUGCAGUUGAAGUGUUAGAGAAUGGAAAUGGAGAUGAUAAGGUGGAUCAUGUAGUUCACAUAGACAAGGAAGAUGAUAGCCAAUUGAAGAACCAUGCCAGUGUGGUUGAUAGUGAGAAUGUGGCUUCAUUAAAUGUGCAAGUCAAGAGAAGGGGUAGAAAGAAAAAAAAUGUAUCAAAUAACAUUACUGAAUUGGCCACACAAUUGGAUAAUGAAACAGGGAAUGUGAACUUAGAGCUGGAAAGAAGAGAUGAAACCCCAUUGAAAAAUGUUAGUGGUUUAGUCGAUCAUGACAAUGAAGUCUCAGAAACAGUAUUGAGUGGGAGAAGAGGUAGGAGAAAAAGAGAGCCACCAAAUAAUGAAGUUACCUUGACAACUCCCGAGACUGGAUUGAGAAGGAGCAGCCGCAGAGCAAAAAGAGCUGCUUUGUCUGAUCUAGACCAAGUACUUAAUGAAGCAGAGCUUGUUGGCAUCAAUCAGCAGUUGUCCUCUCCAGCCAUAAGCAACGUGUCUCAAGAAAGGGUUACGGUGGCAGCUCGUGGAAAAAUUUCCAAUGUUGUAGCUCUUCCAGAAAAAGUGAAGCUGCCGCCACCUUCUUGCGACAUGAACUUAGUUGGAGUUUCACUGUUUGAUUUGGUUUCUGUUUAUACGUUUCUGAGGUCAUUUAGUACUUUAUUGUUUCUAAGCCCCUUCAAGCUGAAUGAUUUUGUAGCCUCUGUUAAAUGUAGUGAUUCAUCAUCAUUGUUCGACUUUAUUCAUGUUUCUCUUCUAAAAACAUUACAAAAACAUUUGGAGACCCUGGCAGCUGAAGGCUUUGAUUCUGCAUCGGAUUGUUUGAGGUCGCUUAAUUGGGAUUUUCUCGACUUGAUUACAUGGCCAAUGUAUGUGGUUGAGUACCUGUUAUUACACAGUCCUGGCCAUAUUCCUGGUCUAGAUCUUUGUCAACUAAAGUUUUUCCAGAAUGACUAUUACAAACUGCCGAUUUCAGCAAAGGUUAAGAUCCUGCAGCAUCUUUGUGAUGACGUAAUUGAAACGGAAGCCUUUAAGUUGGAGCUGAACAGAAGGAUUCUGACAACAGAUAGGCAAACAGAUUUGGACCGAAAGAUGAAACUUGAGAGCAGCAGAAAAAGAAAGACCACAGUCGAUGUCGCGAGCACUUCCUGCAUUACAGGAGAAGGGGAUGGCGCUGAGGAUCCUGCAGAUUGGAACAGUGAUGAAUGCUGUCUGUGUAAGAUGGAUGGGGACUUGAUAUGCUGUGAUGGCUGCCCUGCAGCAUUCCAUUCAAGAUGUGUAGGGGUAGUCAGCAGCAUGUUGCCUGAGGGUGAUUGGUAUUGCCCUGAAUGUGUGAUUGAAAGGGAUAAGCCUUGGAUGAAAGUGAGUAAGUCAACUCGAGGGGCAGAACUGCUGGGGUUUGAUCCCUAUGGCCGACUGUACUAUAGCAGCUGUGGUUACCUGUUUGUGUUAGAGUCAUGCAAUGAUGAAUACAUGUUUUGUGCCUACAAUAGAAAUGACUUAACUACAUUGAUUGAAGCUCUAGAGUCGUCACCAUUCAUCUAUGACAAAUUGAUUAAUGCUAUCUGCAAAAAUUGGAAUGUAAGUCGUGGAAGUUGUGGUGCCAAAAAUGAUUUGGACACUCGGUCUUGCUCUAUUCAGUCAGUCUUUCCUGAAAAAGGCCAAAUGCCAGAUAUGCUUAUGGUACCUUCAGAAUCCAUUAUCAGGAAUGGCAGUUCUAAAAAAACAUCAGAUGAAAAGUCUAUGGUGACUACUUAUUCCAGUAAUGAAGAAAAUCUUAAUUCUGAGCGUGUUACAGCUAUGGUGGAGAUUUGCAACCAUGGACUGAAGAUGGAAAAUCAUUUAGCAAGUUCCGAAGGAUCAGCUGAAGUCUCUCAGACUUCAAUGAAGAUUGAUAACCCAAAGGAAAGUGUGCUGGAGUGUACAAAAACAUGCUUUGAUCCUUCAGAUUGCUGCGAUAUUCCAGAGAAACUUAUCAAUGCUGGUGAUCAUGAUAUGGCAUCUACUUCUUUAAACUUUGAAGAAGGGAAGAGUCUUAAACCCUAUUCCAUGAACUCUAACGUAGAAGUGGGUUACGGGACAAAUUAUAUGAAUUGCUAUGAGUUUGCUCGUACAGCUUCAGAUUAUUACCAAGAGUAUUCUCGUAAAUCAUCAGAUAAGACCUCUGGUGAUGCCCCAAGAUCUAUUGAAGAAGUCUUAGCAGGACAACUGAAGAUUGUAUCAAAUAGAUUUGUUGAAUUUUCUUGGUCAAAUAUCCAAAAUUCUAACAUGACCUCAAGGAAAGAAAGGUGUGGAUGGUGCGUCUAUUGCAGGGUUCCUGGAGAAGAAAGGGACUGCUUAUUUUCUAUGAAUGAUAGUAUUCCAGCAGUAGAGAAAUUUUCCCAUGAAGUUUUAGGAAUCCCGUCACAAAUGAAUGUGAAGAACCAUCUGAUUAAUAUAAUGUGCCACAUUAUAUGCAUGGAAGAUCAUCUGCAGGGUCUUCUGUUGGGCCCAUGGUUAAAUCCAGACUAUUCCAUGCUUUGGCAUGCCAGUGUUCGUGGAGCAACUGAUAUUGCUUUGUUGAAAAAUUUGCUGCUCCAGCUAGCGUCCAAUUUACAUCAUCUAGCACUAUCUGCUGACUGGAGAAAGCAUGUCGAUUCUGUUGCUACGGUUGGCUCUGCCACUCAUAUUGUCAGCACAUCUGCACGAGCAUCGGCAAAACAUGGAAUUAGCAGGAAAAGAGCGAAGUCUUCUGAUGUGAGCGGACCAUCUUCGAAUGCUGCAACUGGUCUGAGCUUAUUCUGGUGGAGGGGUGGAAGGGGCUCACGCACACUCUUCAGUUGGAAGGUUUUGCCUCACUCUUUGGCUUCCAAAGCUGCCCGACAAGGUGGACGUAAGAAGAUACCUGGCAUACUGUAUCCUGAGAGUGGAGAUUAUGCCAAGAGAACUAAAUAUGAUUCCUGGAGAGCUUCUGUUGAGACCUCAAGAAGCGUGGAACAGCUUGCUCUGCAGGUUAGGGAGAUGGAUGCUAAUAUUCGAUGGGAUGACAUUGGAAAUAAUAAGCUUUUUUCCAAGAUAGAAAUGGACUCUAAAAAACCUGCCAGAUCAUUUAAGAAGGUUAUAAUUCGUAGGAAGUGUUCUGAGGGAGCUGUGGUCAGGUACCUUCUGGACUUCGGCAAAAGAAGGUUCAUUCCUGAUGUUGUUGUCAAACAUGGGUCCAAGCUUGAAGAUUCCUCGAAUGAGAGGAAAAGAUAUUGGCUUGAAGAGUCUCAUGUUCCAUUGCACCUCUUGAAAGCUUUUGAAGAGAAAAGAAUCGCUCGCAAGUCCAAUACUAUGAAGUCUGGAAAACUUAGUGAGAGUAGUAGAGUAAUGAAGAAGCCCUUAAAGGAAAAAGGAUUUUCAUAUCUUUUCUCAAGAGCAGAAAGAGUGGAUUAUUAUCAGUGUGCUCAUUGUGAAAAAGAUGUCCUAAUCAGGGAAGCAGUGAGCUGCCAGCAUUGCAAAGGCUUUUUCCAUAAACGACACGUUCGGAAUUCUGCUGGAUAUAUCACUACUCAAUGUAAAUAUACUUGCCAUAAAUGCCAGGAUCUAAAGGUUGUGAAAGUUGAUACAAGGAAGGGGAAAUCUGAAUCCACAAAACUUAAGAAAGCCUCAAAAAGUGUAAAACUGUUACGCUCAGGGAGAGGGAGAAAAAGGGGGAAGGGAAAGCUACUAGUGAAUUCUAUAAACAAAAAAGGCGUUUCUGUCGCUCCCUUACGUCGUUCAGCUAGGAAUGCUGAACGUACUGCAAAAAUUCCAAUGCAGAACAGUAAGUUAAAAAAAAGAAAAAGGGGAAGAAAGCCGAAACCAGAGAAGUAUAAGUCUAUGAAGCCCAAGGCUAUUAGUCGCAAGAAGCAGAGAACGGCUGUUACGAGCAGUUAUUGGUUGAAUGGUCUACGACUUUCAAGAAAGCCAGGUGACGAAAGACAUCUCAGGAAUAGGAAGCUUCUUGUCCUUUCAGGUGAGGUGGAUUCCAUCCUCAAUGAGACUAAAUGCAGCCUCUGCCAUGAAGUGGAACAUAAUUCUGAACUGAAUUAUGUGGGUUGUGAAAUUUGUGGAGCUACAAAGCAGUACCGUCCAACAUGUAACUGAAGCAAGUUGAAGACAUUGAUGAAAAUUCGAAUGUACAGAUAAAUGCUGGAGCAUAAUAUGCAGUUGAUUAAUGCUGAACAACCAUCUUGUCCUUUAUAGAGGUUUGCUGUUCUUUCCUAUUUAAUCUGAUUUCUUUUAUUACCUAUCAUGGCAUUGAUGAUGCUUUAAAAAGUCUUUGCCUCCGUAAGAUUGACAAAUAAAUCUCGGAACAAAUCAUAAAUUAGCAAAAAAGUGUCUUAGCAGGUAAGAUCAGAGUUUAUGGAUAUUCUGAGAAUUUUAUUUAAUGUCACAAAAGUAAGUGGAGAGAGAUUGUGGUGGAAAUCGGCUAAUUAGUAGUUUGAUGCAUAAAUGAGUAAUCUUCUACUUGUGAAACUGUCUAUUUUAGGUAAUAGAGAGACAUUUAAGCUAAACUUAAGGCCCCUUGAUAUUUCUGUUGUAACAUACAUAUACUAUCUAUUUUUGUCGAAAAUGACAACAAAGUUAGUGAAGUGCAGUGAUCAUUGGUCUGCUUUUAAAAUCUUGAUAUGCUCCUUUUAAAUAAGGGGUUUGACUACUCUUUGCUUCUUUCCAUGAUCCAUCCUUAAACUUUGAAAAUUCCUUUUCUUUAGAGUUCCGAUUGUGUCCUUUUUACUUGUAAAAAUUAUUGACAAUUUAUUUUCUGCCACUGCCCAAUAAUAAUGUCCUUCUAACUUUAAAAUGCAAACCUUAUAAAUAUCUUGAAACUGUAAUUGUAUUAAUUGCUUCAUGUUCUAAAUUAAAAGGAAAAUAAAAGUCUAUAAAUUAAAGGGACUUACUCGUAAAAUAAACCUUCCCUUUAUCACUUCAUGACAAUUUUUCUUUUUGAAAUAAACAUCUCUUUAUGAAAAAUUUCUUUUCAAGUUUCAACCUCUGUUGCCAUCGAUCAGAUUAUACUAAUCUAUUUUGAAUUUUAAUGUUUUAUAAUUAUUACAGUAAUAUAUAUUUUUAGUAAACUAAUAAAUAAUUUUCCAUUAAAAAAAACAAGAAAGAUGAAAACGAUUUUUUUUACAUUUAUGUUAUGCAUACUCUUUUUUACAUGUAUGUUAGUUUAAGGUUUUGCCUCAGGCCAACAGUUUUCUUGAUCCUGGUUAUCUUCAUUGAGCGCUUGCCGCCAUACAUUUACCGGUACAUAUUUUGUUGGUGCUAUGCGUGUAACAGAGUGAGUGUGCUACACUCAGAUGUACAUGGUAUGUGUUUUAACCCCAUCUUGAACUUGAGCUAAAUAAUCAUGUCAUGUCCUAUCCUGAUGUAAAUGGAUGCCUCUGAUGAAAAAAUUCAAGAGGGCGACUCAAGUUAUUAGGGAAAUUUUCUUGAUUAGUGGGCUAGUUAAUAAUGAAAGAUGUUGUCACAAGCUACUAGACUGAAAUUGGAUUCAAAUAUACAUUAAAGAAACAUAUUCGAAGUUCAAUUAACAAUAACCAGCAACGUAAACCUUUUGAGAGUCCGAGACAUGAUGACAUAAAUCAAUAAGAUAUGGCUUGCAAUACAUUGAAAAACCAUCCAUUGUAUUUUUUUUAUCACACAUCGCUUUUGUUUUGUGUUCUAUAAACAUUGGAAAGUCUUUUUCACUUUUAAGUGGUUAGUAGUUUAUAUUGCUAAUCUUUGUUGCUCGCCUUUGUGAUUUAAUGUUGACUUAAAAGCGAAGAGUCUUAGCUUGAUGUCAACGCACUGUGUAACCCCCCUCCCCGCUCUUCUCUCUGAUGGCGACUUCAAUUAUGCUUUGGAUCAGGUAAGUUAAACUCUUAAAUGAGAUGCUGUGGUGGAGAAGUUUGUUAUGUUUUUUAUUCUGUCCCCUUGACCCUUUUUGAACUACUAAUUUAUAUAAAAGGGAGGUACUUCAUUGUUCUGUAAGAUAUAUAUGUACCCACGACAGAUUUGAAUUUUAUGCAUUUGUUGUUUUAUGCUAGGCAAUGGAAUUAUUACAAACACUGUCAAUGGUUUAUGACUUCUUGUGAAAUGCAUCACAAUGAGAGAUGGAUAAGCAUUAUUACAUUUGCUCUAACGUUCUGCAGAAUUUAUAACGUCUACUAGUGAAAUUGUUCGUACUUUUUACUGAAACACGCAUUUUGGGAGACUGCCACACUCCAUCUAUGAGGCUGUUUAUGGUAACUGACAAGGGACCAUGGCUGACAGAAUUUGGAUUUGGCAGGUAAAAACAAGGUAGCUACUCUUGCAGGACAGAUCUGCUUUUGCACCCUCUUAACCUUGUUGCUACAGCAGAAGCAUCGCGCUAGCAAGAAGUUAUGGGAUCACCACCAUCACUCUACUCUAUGCUUGUUUUAAGUGCAUCGUUAUAAAUGGAUUUUCAGAUUAAAGAGAGACAAGUUGAGAAGGAUGGGAACACCCUGUUUUCUCAUGGUUUUCUUAUGUCCCGGGCUUAACUCUGCAAUCCCACAAUGUGAGGUAAAAUUCAUUCCCAUCUUCAUUGCUCUAUUCAGUCAUUCUAAAAAAUCAUCCAGAUGCAGUACCAGCGACACAAGGCGAGUCCACUACAUCUAAUUCCUUGUAGCAGAUCUAUGAAUUUGGAGGGCUUAGCUACCCGCAUCAAUGGGUUUUUUCUAUUUGGCACCACCACCACCACUGAUGCUAGUAAUCAUUCUGCCUUCUACAACGUAUGGAUAAUGUGUUCACUUUGACUCGAAAUUGGAUCCAUAGAUGCCAAAUAAUUAUAGGGGAUAAUAAAGUUUUUGCACUCCAUCUCCAAUAAAUGAUAAAUCAUUGUAAUUUUAAUAACAAAACGGAUGAGUGUUUACAAAUUCACGGUAUCUAUAUCUAGAGGAUUGAUAUGCUGAGAGCUCCUAGUGAGUGCUAGCUUGAGCCACUACCACGCUAAUUGCAUUUUUUUUAAUUAAUUUCUCUCUCCUCUUACCAACAUACAUGUUCUUUUAUCAAACUUCUGCUCUCCUAAAAUUUUGCCUGAACAUUUACCUCUCUUGCAAAAGUUAAAAAAUUUCUCUACUUCUCUUCCACAAUAUCUUCUUCACAAUUCUUUCGUCACACUACACCAAAAUUGAAACAUUCAGGAUGAUAGGGCUGAAGAAAAAAGAGGAAAAGAGCUCCAAUUCGAUUGCUUUUACCCCAAUUAGAAGAAAUUUAUCUCAUUGACCAAUUUUCUUCUUUCUUUUCCAAUUCUAAUAAGAACUGUGGCGAUUGUCUUCUUUCUCUGACCUCUCUCAUUCUCGGUGAUGAGCCACUUUCAAAUUCCCCAGCUUUGUUGAACCCGUGCGUAACUCAGUCAUUGACCAUCACUGCCUGCAAAUUGAUGCAGCUACCUACACCUCAACCAGUCCAUCCACUUCCAGUGCCUGGAAAAGUUUGCAGCUACAACUUUAGAUUUUAUGCAUUUUACUCAAAGAUGGAUUGACUCUGUACUUGGUUGGAAGUUCGUGUGUUAGUAUGUGAGAUUAAACUUUUGUGUGUGUCUACAUAUAUUUUUUCAAUGUUGAUAAUGAAUUUGAAUAUUUUAUACUA